rnacentral:rRNA from 1 species
GAUGAACGCUAGCGGCAGGCCUAACACAUGCAAGUCGAGGGGUAACUAGAGUGAUAGCAAUAUUACUUUGGCUAGACCGGCGCACGGGUGCGUAACACGUAUGCAACCUACCUUAUACUGGGGAAUAACUUCGAGAAAUCGGCGCUAAUACCCCAUAACACUGCGGAGAGGCAUCUCUUUGCAGUUAAAGCUCCGGCGGUAUAAGAUGGGCAUGCGUCCAAUUAGCUAGUUGGUGAGGUAACGGCUCACCAAGGCUGCGAUUGGUAGGGGUUCUGAGAGGAUGAUCCCCCACACUGGUACUGAGACACGGACCAGACUCCUACGGGAGGCAGCAGUGAGGAAUAUUGCGCAAUGGACGAAAGUCUGACGCAGCCAUGCCGCGUGCAGGAUGACGGCCCUAUGGGUUGUAAACUGCUUUUGUACGGGAAUAAACCUCUUUACGUGUAGAGAGCUGAAGGUACCAAAUGAAUAAGCACCGGCUAACUCCGUGCCAGCCGCCGCAGUAA